rnacentral:piRNA from 7 species
GACUCUGAAUCCAGCGAUCCGAGU